rnacentral:rRNA from 1 species
AUUGAACGCUGGCGGCAUGCCUUACACAUGCAAGUCGAACGGCAGCACGGGUGCUUGCACCUGGUGGCGAGUGGCGAACGGGUGAGUAAUACAUCGGAACAUGUCCUGUAGUGGGGGAUAGCCCGGCGAAAGCCGGAUUAAUACCGCAUACGAUCCACGGAUGAAAGCGGGGGACCUUCGGGCCUCGCGCUAUAGGGUUGGCCGAUGGCUGAUUAGCUAGUUGGUGGGGUAAGGGCCUACCAAGGCGACGAUCAGUAGCUGGUCUGAGAGGACGACCAGCCACACUGGGACUGAGACACGGCCCAGACUCCUACGGGAGGCAGCAGUGGGGAAUUUUGGACAAUGGGCGAAAGCCUGAUCCAGCAAUGCCGCGUGUGUGAAGAAGGCCUUCGGGUUGUAAAGCACUUUUGUCCGGAAAGAAAUCCUUGGCUCUAAUACAGUCGGGGGAUGACGGUACCGGAAGAAUAAGCACCGGCUAACUACGUG